rnacentral:lncRNA from 1 species
UGCAUGGAAUUCUACAGCCUGAGUAAACUAUAAUUAACAAACAUUUAUGGACUCACAGUGGUGCAGACUGGGAAGUUGAAGAUCAAAAAGCUAACAUCUGCCAAAGCCUUCUUAUUGUGUCCCUUCAUGGCAGAAGGUAGAAGGGCCAAAUAAUGGUAAGAGAGAGAGUCAAAUGUGCAUGAAAAAAAAAACCCUCAUGAUUUCCUUUCUACUUUUCAACAUGAACACGAGUCCCCUUAAUUAUCAAGAUUAAGGGGAACCCAAGUAACAUGAAACUUUAAAAAUUGGAAGACUAAGAUACUGAGACAUCUUGAAGACUGAGGCAACAUACAAAAAGACAAAUGCUAAGCUCUUGAAAAUAAAAU